CUAGUUUUGCUACGUGCUUAAGCUUCGCUUUGUGCGGUCCUUCCAUUAUUAUUCCGAUUCCUGCGCUAGAGGAGCUUGAUGCUCUAUCUGUUCAUACGUUCUAAUGUUCUCUGAUGUUAUCCUUUCUUUCAAGCACUGAGGUCAGUUUGGCCAUAAAGUCGAUGAGUACUUGUACCUUCAAUGUUGUUUUUAGCAUGUAUCUGAUAUCGUAUGCUCCUAAGCUGAUCGACCAUGUCGCCAAUCAUCCGGAUGUCUCUGGUCUGUGCAAGAUCUUUCUUAAUGGGUAAUUUAUUCAGACCUUCAUGGUGUGUGCUUUGAAUUAUGGCUUCAACUUUGUCGCUGCUGACAAGACUGUGUAGGCAAGCUUUUCCAAGAUGGGAUAAUUGAG
rnacentral:misc_RNA from 1 species